rnacentral:tRNA from 1 species
UGUGUCUCAGUGGAAGAGCCUCUGCUCUGGCAUGUAGAAGGUCCCAGGUUCAAUCUCUGGCUGAAAAG